UCAAUAGCUGAUUGAGAGGAUGAUCAGCCACAUUGGGACUGAGACACGGCCCAAACUCUACGGGAGGCAGCAGUGGGGAAUCUUGCACAAUGGAGGAAACUCUGAUGCAGCGAUGCCGCGUGAGUGAAGAAGGCCUUUGGGUUGUAAAGCUCUUUCGUCGGGGAAGAAAAUGACUGUACCCGAAUAAGAAGGUCCGGCUAACUUCGUGCCAGCAGCCGCGGUAAUACGAAGGGACCUAGCGUAGUUCGGAAUUACUGGGCUUAAAGAGUUCGUAGGUGGUUGAAAAAGUUGGUGGUGAAAUCCCAGAGCUUAACUCUGGAACUGCCAUCAAAACUUUUCAGCUAGAGUAUGAUAGAGGAAAGCAGAAUUUCUAGUGUAGAGGUGAAAUUCGUAGAUAUUAGAAAGAAUACCAAUUGCGAAGGCAGCUUUCUGGAUCAUUACUGACACUGAGGAACGAAAGCAUGGGUAGCGAAGAGGAUUAGAUACCCUCGUAGUCCAUGCCGUAAACGAUGUGUGUUAGACGUUGGAAAUUUAUUUUCAGUGUCGCAGGGAAACCGAUAAACACACCGCCUGGGGAGUACGACCGCAAGGUUAAAACUCAAAUGAAUUGACGGGGACCCGCACAAGUAGUGGAGCAUGUGGUUUAAUUCGAAGAUACGCGCAGAACCUUACCAACACUUGACAUGUUCGUCGCGACUCUAAGAGAUUAGAGUUUUCGGUUCGGCCGGACGAAACACAGGUGCUGCAUGGCUGUCGUCAGCUCGUGUCGUGAGAUGUUGGGUUAAGUCCCGCAACGAGCGCAACCCUCACUUUUAGUUGCCAUCAUUAAGUUGGGCACU
rnacentral:rRNA from 1 species